rnacentral:tRNA from 1 species
GGAGCCGUGUCUGAGCGGUCUAAGGUGCCUCUUUGCUAAAGAGGUGAGGGCUUUAAACCCCUCCGCUGGUUCGAAUCCAGCCGGCUCCGCUA